rnacentral:lncRNA from 1 species
UGUCCUGUAAAUGGUCUGAACUUCCAUAUUUAUAGCUGCGGACGCCGAACAAUAUUCAAUUUGGUUGAGCGGUCCGUGACCUUUGAGUGGAUGGUGGGUCUCUGUGUCUGUGUCGGUGUCGGCCACUAACUCCUUAUGCGAGAUGAGUCAUUUGUCUUUUUGCAACCCGUGACUUUUGAGUGAAUGGUGGGUCCUUAUGUCUGUGACGUCAUUGUUUUUGUCUUAUCGGCUGCUUGUCAGUGUGUAGGUUUAUGAUGGGUCCUACAUUUCUGCUUGUGUAAAGAAAUCAUCGUUAUCGUCUGCAAGAUCAAUUGGUGAUGGUGAUGCUGUUGAGCUUCUGGUUUCUUUGAGUUCUUCUAGUAAUUUGUCAUAUUCUUUUUCUGAGGUACAAGCUGUCAUUUGUGCCAUUAACUGUUGUUUUUGGGCUAGGAAAAUCUCAUGUUUGGUUAUGGUAGAUGGGCUUGGAGUCUUGCUGUAUUGUGGAUGGUCAAGGAAGAAUUGUUCUAUGGCUUGUGGGCCACAAGCCUGCAAAUUGGUUUUAUUCCACCAUUUAAUUUUAUAUCUACGGACCAAAAUUGGGAUCUGAAAAUUGUCAAGAGUUUGGUCUUUUAUUUGAUAUUCUAUCAUGAGGAUCCAUGGGAUAUGGAAAUAGUGACAAUAAAUAGCCCAUUGGGGUGAAUAGAUAAUUGUAUCAGGUAAUUGGUUUUGCUCAAAAAAUUGGGUUUUUGCUAUCUUAAUUUGGUCAGGAAUUAUUUUUUCAUUGAUUCCAAAUUUGUUCCACCAUUGAUGGAACCAAUAUGGCAAUGGAUAUGUGAAAGUAUCUGCAAAAAAGAAAAAGAAAGAAACUGAUAAUUGGUCAUUUUGCUUUAGGAAAGUUCUUUCCCAAGCAAUUUGGUAAUCAUAAUAAUUGUAUUUGAUAUUUUGUCUCAUUUGUCCAUUUGUCAUUACCAUUUCUCUGGUUUUAUGGGGCUCUUGUCCCCAAUCUGUGAGAGUCCAUAUUUUUAAUAUUCUUAUCUUACAAUAUCUUAAUUUAUUUGGGAUUUGAGGAUCGAAAUUGUUAUAGAUAAUAAGAGAAUUGGUAUUGACUAGAAUGGCUUCAUAAAAUUGUUGGGAUUUAUGGAAAUUAUCUGGUAUAUAAAAGUGAGUUUUAGGAAAGAUAGUAUCACAAAGUUGGUAUUCAUUCAUAUUAGGAUUCUGGGCCCAAUACUCAGGUUCAAUGGUGAGAAUAUAGUCUUCAAUGGUUUUGUACUUGUAAUCUGUCUGGGAUUGGUCUUGGGACAUUGUUGGGCUUGAAGAAGAUCCUGUAACUGCUUGUUUGAAAGUAGAGGGAGUUAUGAGAUCAGGAGGAGUUCUUAGUGGACUGAAUUUAUUUAGUGAAACAAAAUUGGGCCUUGGCGACCUGGGCCUUGGGUAAGUUGGUUGAACAAUUAAAGCACUAGAGAUUGGACUCAUUGGCCUAUGCAUAAUACUUGAAGUACUGGUGUAUAUUGGUCUAGCAAUAGAAGUUUGUCCAGAAGUAAAUAAUUUUGCAUUUGUCAGAUUUGUUUUAG